rnacentral:rRNA from 1 species
GCACAAGCGGUGGAUGAUGUGGAUUAAUUCGAUGCAACGCGAAAACCUUACCUACCCUUGACAUGUCCGGAAUCCCGAAGAGAUUUGGGAGUGCUCGCAAGAGAACCGGAACACAGGUGCUGCAUGGCUGUCGUCAGCUCGUGUCGUGAGAUGUUGGGUUAAGUCCCGCAACGAGCGCAACCCUUGUCAUUAGUUGCUACAUUCAGUUGGGCACUCUAAUGAGACUGCCGGUGACAAGCCGGAGGAAGGUGGGGAUGACGUCAAGUCCUCAUGGCCCUUAUAGGUGGGGCUACACACGUCAUACAAUGGCUGGUACAAAGGGUUGCCAACCCGCGAGGGGGAGCCAAUCCCAUAAAGCCAGUCGUAGUCCGGAUCGUAGUCUGCAACUCGACUACGUGAAGUCGGAAUCGCUAGUAAUCGUGGAUCAGAAUGUCACGGUGAAUACGUUCCCGGGUCUU